GCUGGCGGCGUGCUUAACACAUGCAAGUCGAGUGCGCGCCUGUAGCAAUACAGGUGGCGCACGGCGCACGGGUGCGUAACACGUGGGUAACCUGCCCUUUAGUGGGGAAUAACCUCGCGAAAGCGAGGCUAAUUCCGCAUAAGAUCCGCAAGGAUGAAAGCCGAAAGGCGCUGAUGGAGGGGCCCGCGCACGAUUAGCUAGUUGGUGAGGUAAUGGCUCACCAAGGCUAUGAUCGUUAGCUGGUCUGAGAGGAUGGCCAGCCACACUGGAACUGAGACACGGUCCAGACUCCUACGGGAGGCAGCAGUGGGGAAUCUUGCACAAUGGGCGAAAGCCUGAUGCAGCGACGCCGCGUGGGGGAUGAAGCUUCUCGGAGUGUAAACCCCUUUCGACCCGGACGAAUACCUCGCAAGAGGGGUGACGGUACGGGUAUAAGAAGCCCCGGCUAACUACGUGCCAGCAGCC
rnacentral:rRNA from 1 species